AUGGACCGUAACCUCCUUUACAGCCGUAUGUGUAGGUAUGAGUCGGAUGAUGAGGGUCCACCGGAAGAAUUGGAUGAGGAUGGAUUCACGCCGCAAGAAAAUCAAAUUUACAAGAAGGUCAAUGGCAAGGAAAGAGGACCCUCUUUGUUUCGUGAUCUUAGUCUUGCCGACAAGGCCGUUGUUGAUGGUGGCAUGAGGUUGGGCUUGGUCGAACCAUCACCUUGCCCGAGGAUGGGUGAUCCGAGGCCACCGGGUGAGGAUGAGAAUGCUCAUUUGAAGAAAGUGAUCAAGUUUGGUUGUUUGCAAGAGUUCAAGAUAUAG
rnacentral:rRNA from 1 species